UUCAACGGCCGCGGUAUUCUAACCGUGCAAAGGUAGCGUAAUCACUUGUCUCUUAAAUAGAGACUAGUAUGAAUGGCUAAAUGAGGACAAGCCUGUCUCCUAUAACCAAUCAGUGAAACUGAUCUUCCAGUCCAAAAGCUGGAAUACAAACACAAGACGAGAAGACCCUGUGGAGCUUUAAACCUACUACCAACAAAUUCAUUUGGUAAAACGUUUUGAGUUGGGGCGACUUCGGAAAAAAACAAAACUUCCGAGAGCAGAACCACCACUUCUAACCGAGGCAGACAUGCCAAAACAAACUUAGACCCAGUCACACUGAUCAACGAACCAAGUUACCCCAGGGAUAACAGCGCUAUCUUCUUCAAGAGUUCAUAUCGACAAGAAGGUUUACGACCUCGAUGUUGGAUCAGGACACCCAAAUGGUGCAGCCGCUAUUAAAGGUUCGUUUGUUCAACGAUUAA
rnacentral:rRNA from 1 species